GGCCCGGUAGCGGAUGGUCCGCACCUGCUCUCUUUAUACUGAAGGUAUAAAUCACCAUCAUGCAGGGAACGCUCGUUCGACUCGAGCCCGGGCCA